rnacentral:rRNA from 1 species
UACGUAGGGUCCGAGCGUUGUCCGGAUUUAUUGGGCGUAAAGAGCUCGUAGGUGGUUCGCUAAGUCGGAUGUGAAAACUCGGGGCUCAACCCCCGAGACACCAUCCGAUACUGGCGUGACUUGAGUCUGGUAGGGGAGAUCGGAAUUCCUGGUGUAGCGGUGGAAAUGACGCAGAUAUCAGGAGGAACACCGGUGGCGAAGGCGGAUCUCUGGGCCAGUACUGACACUGAGGAGCGAAAGCGUGGGUAGCAAACAGG